rnacentral:misc_RNA from 1 species
AGAUAUUCCUACUUUUUUGUACCUUCAAAAUCCGACAAUCCUAAAUCCUAUGUCACUAUGUUUGGACUGGAUUUGUACCACAUGAAAUUGUUUAUAUUUUAUGUCCAUAUAGGUGUAAAAGUUAGGAGCUUCAUUGCUUCUAUUAUGGACCUUGGAUGUUGCACUCAACAUCUCGUGGAAGAACUCGUGCUCUUGCAUCUUCUGAGAAAUUACCAUCUGAUAUAUGGUGUUGCCCGCCCUUUGUGACAUAUGGCAAACAGCAUUACUAAUAUUUUUUUAAAUAAUUGCUCUCUCUUGUCUUCAACUUAAUCUCAUCUUAUAAUGAAAUUUGAUGCAGUUGAAAAUUUCUUUUGAUUUUGUGAAUAUGAAAUAUUUCUUUCUAAAACCCUUUUGUGUUUCUUUUCUGUAAUGUGGGGUUAAUGAUUGCCUUAAUCUCUUUAUUACUUUCUCCAGGAACAAGCUCGAA